AUCUUACUCCCUCCGUCCGAAAAUACUUGUCAUCAAAAUGGACAAAAAGGGAUGUAUCUAAAACUAAAAUACAUCUAGAUACAUCCCCUUUUAUUCAUUUUGAUGACAAGUAUUUCCGGACGGAGGAAGUAUAAA
rfam:Triticum aestivum genome assembly, contig: Triticum_aestivum_CS42_TGACv1_scaffold_342851_4DL